rnacentral:SRP_RNA from 1 species
CUGUGCUAGACGGGGAAGUAGCGGAGCCCUGUAACCCGCAAUCCGCUAUAGCGGGGUUGAAUUCCUGUCUGCGGUAUGUUGCUUGCAGGGUCUGGCCUGAGUAAGUGAUGUUGAUCACCGGGUCCUGCGCAACGGAGGUCUAUGAACCCUGUCAGGUCCGGAAGGAAGCAGCAGUAAGUAGAAUUCUUCGUGUGCCGCAGGGGUGCCUGGUGGGAGUUAACUGCUCGGUUACCGCCUGUGAGUGCAUAACAAGGGCAGGUGCACAG